AAAAUGUAAGAAAAUAUUCUAAAAAGUUAAUAAAAUUAGGAAAAAAUUUUAAAAUCAUUUCAAAUAGUGAAACUGGAAUACUGGAUGGGAUAUCAAAUAUAAGUGUCAAUAAAUAAAAGUUUAUUCAUAAUUAUUUUUACCUUCACUAUGCAUAAACACUUUGUACAAGGCUCAUGUCAAUAAGAAUGGAACAAAUGUCUAAAUGAAGAAAUGCACACAUUUGUUCUGGUGUUUAUUAAUACUGGAAAAUUGCGGAAAUUAUGAAAUAAUUAAGAUUUCCACAAGAGUAAAAAAAAUAUUUUGAGUUAUCUCCCAUUAGAAAAGGCCAAAGAGAUAAAGAGGUCUUUUCAACAAAAUAAAGGAAAUCCAAGCACUCAUAGUAUUUGGCUAUUAAAACAUUAAGAGGAAAUGUAGUGCAUUAUAUGACCACUGUGUAUCAUCACCACCGGAUAUAGGAAGCGGUGGAAAACAAUGUGAAGUCAGACUGGAGUUGUUUCCCUUGCACUGGUAACCAUGUGCUGUAAGCAGACACGGCGAGGAGGCUGUGAACAAACAUUUUCCAGUCCAAACGGAUGAUUUAGCAGCCGUGAAUAGUAAUGAAAGACAAUAAUACUAAUACAAGAAUAAUCCAGAUCUUCCAUUUGAAAUACUAAAGCUGUCUGUUGAAAGUGAUUUUGUACAGAGUUUGAAUAUGGCAUUAGAAAUAAUUGCAUUGUCAAGACUUGACAAGUAAAUGCUGCAAUGGAAUUGCUUGAUAAAUAUCAUGUUCAGACAUCUAUCAGCUAUGACCAGCCAUCAAAAAUAUUUCCAGACUGUGCAGACGAUUUUUAAUGGAUAACCAAUUACUAAAAAUGAAUAAAUGUUUUAUGAGAUGCGAGGAAUAUCAAAGAAAAUAUGAUGCGGUUUCAAAAAAGACUUUUGUGUUGAAGAUGUCAAAUAAAAUGAAAAGUGGAGAAAGUAUAAGUCAUGAUGAUCUACAGACCAUGAUCCAUCUAGUUCAGUCACCUAGGGAAUUUAAUCUUUGUGUGGAUAUGGCUAGAAGAUAUCAAACAGCAAAGGUUAAUGCAUCUGAAAAUGGCAAAGUUUGUCUACCUGUGAAUCACCAACUAGCAACGGUUCAAUCACCUAUUAAUAAGGAAACUGCCAAAGUUCAUACACCUGUAGAAAAGCAACCAGCCAUUUUUCGAGCACCUAAAAUUCACUAAACUUCAAAGGUUCAUGCUCCUGUAAAUCACCAAACAUCCAAGGUUUAUACACAUAUAAAACAUUAUACAGCAAAGGUUCAUGUGCUUGCAAACCAUCAAAAUAACGAAGUUCAUUCUCCUGGUAACAACAGUGAUUGCAAGGUUUCUUUAUUUUCAAAUCACCAAAUUGCCAAAGAUCAUACACCCAUAAUUGACGAAACUGGUAAUGUUCCUAAUCCAGCAAAGUACCAGAAUGUCAAGUUGGACAUUGGGCCACAGUUCAUGAGGAUUUUGCAUCAUUUUAAGAAAGCAUAUAUCGCUAUUAUGCUUAUGGAAGAUAGGUCCACCAUGAGGAACUUUCUGUAUAACAACUGUGAUUGAUGUGUAUAUGGAUCUACUAUUCAAGACAGGAGAAUAUGAGAAAGUUGUGAAAACCUAGGAAGAAAUAGAUUAUUUUAAUGAACAAAAACUUACAAAUCAUAUGACACUGGUCAUGGCAGCUUUAUAUAAUUUACUUACGAAGCAGUUUCACUCAUGUCUCCUACACUAGAAAAGGUCCUGCAAAUAUGCGAAAGAUGGAUGCAAACAAAACAUGAAAAAGGGAAAACCGGAAACUUACGAAGCAGUUUCACUCAUGUCUCCUACACUAGAAAAGGUCCUGCAAAUAUGCGAAAGAUGGAUGCAAACAAAACAUGAAAAAGGGAAAAACCGGAAAAAUACGUUGGAAGCUUUGGAGAAAGCUGUUGAAAUCAUACGCGACAAAUAUUAACAAGAUAUAACCGUGACACCACCAAAGGCAUGAGCAUUUGCUGCAGCUUUAGCAUUAAGACAGGAUGAUCCUAAUCUGGCAUUGAAUAUUCUACAGCUUGGUUCUGAAAGUCAUUCAAUAAUAUAAACUCAGCUAUAAGAGUCAUGGCUCUGGCAAAAUUAGACAAAGUUCAUGAAGCAUUUCAAAUGUUAGAUUCUUUCCAUAAUCAGAUAGGUGGAACCUAUAAAAAGCCAAUUAGAAUAUACCCAGAAUGUCUGAAUGCAUUGAAUGAUAUGGUCAAAAGAAAUAGUGAUCCAGAAAUUCUAGAGAAAUUUACAGAAAUGAAAAAUAAUUUACGACAAGCUGGACUAAUAAACUGUGUGACAUUAUUUCAAAAACUUUCACAUACUCUAUAUAGUAAUCCUCCUAAUAUAUGUAAAUGUGAAUUAAAUGGAUAUUUUACACCUGAUAGAUGUACCCCAGUGUAUAAAAUAAAAGUGCCAUAAAUCA